CUACAGCAUAUUAAAAAUGCUUUCUUUAAAGUUGUUUUUAAACUGUUAAAUUCAACUUCUGAAUUGACUAGGGGUGUUGCUAUCAUCUGAUUUUUUUUCUUUUGAUUAUUGAUUACUUUGUGAUUUUUGCAUACUUUAACCUAUGAAUAUAUGUCUAAUAAUGUAUUAUUUUAUGUUUAGUAUUGAAAUACUUCAUAGAAAUUCUAGGUUAUAGUGUUUCCUUUAAAGAGUAUUAUGUUAUAGUCUGGCAAGCCUUUGUAUCCCUGGUUUCUUUUAUUUCUCAAAGGUAAUUUUAUACGGUUUUAUCUACAUUUUAAAUAUUUAUUUGGAUUUACUUGUUUAGCUGCACCAGGUCUCAGUUGCAGCACACAGAAUCUUUGAUCUUUGCUGUGGCAUGCAACAUGUGGGAUCUAGUUCCCUGACCAGAGAUGGAACCUGGGCCCCCUGCAUUGGGAGUAUGGAAUCUUAGCCACUGGACCACCAGGAAAGUCCCUUGAAGGUUAAUUUUCUUAGUGUUGUGUUGGUCUCUUUUGGUUUGUUCUUAGUCCUAGAUAAUGGCUCUUAUUAUGUGACAUAUUCUUUAUUUCCAAAGAGAUGACCUAUCUGAGAUUUCAAAUGAUUGACCGAGGCCAGACAGUCAGAGUCUCCCAGUGACUUCUGGCACGUCCACUGAGGUUCCAGUUCCACAGGACUCCUUUCUUCUAGAAUUAAUGGGGUGGUACCCUGCUCAUGAACAGCCUAGCAGCUCCCUGGUUUCCUAGAUCCUUUUCCAUAUAUUCAAACUGCUUCAUCAUCCUGGAAAUCUCUUCCUUCUCCAGUUAGGAAAAGUGUCCCUUAACUUGAGUUUUCUCUACCUUGCACUACAAUAGGGAGUGUGUCCCCAGUUAGAGAACCAAGGCAAAUAUUAGAUUUAUUCCUGACUUUCUCUUUUCUCAAGGAAUAUAGAUAUAUGCUUCCUGUUUGUUUGUUUUUUUUCCCUCCAAUGCAUGAAAGUGGUAGUCUCAUAGUUUUUUUUUUUUUUUUCCCAGUUUUACAGUGUUUAUGGAAGAAGGGCAAGUCCAGUGUCAGUAUUUUGUCACAGAGGAAGAUUGAAGUCUCACCCAAGCAGAUUCCCUUGACUUCAGGGGUUGGAAUUAGAGGAAUCACCAUUUCCGCCCCCUCACUCAGGGAGUCAUGGUUUCCUGUAGCACCAUACUGCAAGUAA
rnacentral:lncRNA from 1 species